rnacentral:rRNA from 1 species
UACGUAGGUGGCAAGCGUUGUCCGGAUUUACUGGGCGUAAAGAGCGCGCAGGCGGUCGUUCAAGUCGCGUGUGAAAGCCCCCGGCUCAACUGGGGAGGGUCACGCGAUACUGAUCGACUCGAAGGCAGGAGAGGGUAGUGGAAUUCCCGGUGUAGUAGUGAAAUGCGUAGAUAUCGGGAGGAACACCAGUGGCGAAGGCGACUACCUGGCCUGUUCUUGACGCUGAGGCGCGAAAGCUAGGGGAGCAAACGGG